GAGCUUGGGCUAUAUUCACUUCUCCUGCGUACAUGAACUCCAUUAAUGCUAUAAUGUGACGAGCCUCCACAUCUCGCAUGAAAAUAAUGGGGUGUAAAACAUGUCAAUUACAGUAAACAUUAUAGAAGUAGUAGAAAAUCAUGAUGCAGUGUCAUUAAUAUUGGUUAAGCAUAUAAGAAUAUAAAUGGACACAGAUGUAUGAAUAACAAGGGCUGAUAUAUUUUCAGGAAAAAGGUCUAUCUGUAGUAAUUUGGGGGUUUUGAUCCCGAAUCUGAAAAAAAUUUCAGCCCAUUUUGCCCCCUAGCGUGAUUUACCGUAUAAAUGGGUUCUUCCAUCGCGACUGGCGGGCAGUAAAUAUCACUUAGGCCAACACCAUUUAGCCGUAAAAAGUGUACCUGUAGUAAUUUGGAGGGGUUCUGAUCACAAAUCUGAAGAAAUUUUCAACCUAUUUUGCCCCCUAGUAUGAUUUAACGAAAAAAUGGGUUCUUCCAUCGCGACUGGCGGGCAAUAUAUAUCACUUAGGCCAACACCGUU